rnacentral:rRNA from 1 species
AGAAGAGGACAGUGGAACUCCAUGUGUAGCGGUGAAAUGCGUAGAUAUAUGGAAGAACACCAGUGGCGAAGGCGGCUGUCUGGUCUGUAACUGACGCUGAGGCUCGAAAGUAUGGGUAGCAAACAGGAUUAGAUACCCUGGUAGUCCAUACCGUAAACGAUGAAUGCUAAGUGUUGGAGGGUUUCCGCCCUUCAGUGCUGCAGCUAACGCAUUAAGCAUUCCGCCUGGGGAGUACGGCCGCAAGGCUGAAACUCAAAGGAAUUGACGGGGGCCCGCACAAGCGGUGGAGCAUGUGGUUUAAUUCGAAGCUACGCGAAGAACCUUACCAGGUCUUGACAUACUAUGCAAAUCUAAGAGAUUAGACGUUCCCUUCGGGGACAUGGAUACAGGUGGUGCAUGGUUGUCGUCAGCUCGUGUCGUGAGAUGUUGGGUUAAGUCCCGCAACGAGCGCAACCCUUAUUAUCAGUUGCCAGCAUUAAGUUGGGCACUCUGGUGAGACUGCCGGUGACAAACCGGAGGAAGGUGGGGAUGACGUCAAAUCAUCAUGCCCCUUAUGACCUGGGCUACACACGUGCUACAAUGGAUGGUACAACGAGUUGCGAACUCGCGAGAGUAAGCUAAUCUCUUAAAGCCAUUCUCAGUUCGGAUUGUAGGCUGCAACUCGCCUACAUGAAGUCGGAAUCGCUAGUAAUCGCGGAUCAGCAUGCCGCGGUGAAUACGUUCCCGGGCCUUGUACACACCGCCCGUCACACCAUGAGAGUUUGUAACACCCAAAGUCGGUGGGGUAACCUUUUAGGAACCAGCCGCCUAAGGUGGGACAGAUGAUUAGGGUGAAGUCGUAACAAGGUAGCCGUA